rnacentral:rRNA from 1 species
UGCGUAGGGGGCAAGCGUUGUCCGGAAUCAUUGGGCGUAAAGCGCGUGUAGGCGGCCCGGUAAGUCCGCUGUGAAAGUCGGGGGCUCAACCCUCGGAUGCCGGUGGAUACUGUCGGGCUCGAGUACGGAAGAGGCGAGUGGAAUUCCUGGUGUAGCGGUGAAAUGCGCAGAUAUCAGGAGGAACACCAAUUGCGAAGGCAGCUCGCUGGGACGUAACUGACGCUGAGGAGCGAAAGCUAGGGGAGCGAACGGG